rnacentral:rRNA from 1 species
GGACCAAGGAGUCUAACACGUGCGCGAGUCAUUGGAUCCCACUACGUCCAAGGGCGCAUUGAACGAAAAGGCCGGCGCUCGCGCCGGCCGAGGGAGGAUGGGGGCCCGCUCGCGGGCUCCCCGCACUCCCGGGGCGUCUCGUCCUACCGCGGCUCGUCCGCGGAAGGUGAGGCGCACCAAGAGCGCACGCGUUGGUACCCGAAAGAUGGUGAACUAUGCCUGGCCAGGACGAAGCCAGGGGAAACCCUGGUGGAGGUCCGUAGCGAUUCUGACGUGCAAAUCGAUCGUCAGAGCUGGGUAUAGGGGCGAAAGACUAAUCGAACCAUCUAGUAGCUGGUUCCCUCCGAAGUUUCCCUCAGGAUAGCUGGCGCUCGUAGAACCGAGUCCCAUCCGGUAAAGCGAAUGAUUAGAGGCUAUGGGGUCGAAACGAUCUCAACCUAUUCUCAAACUCUAAAUGGGUGGGAACUCGUGCUUGCCUAAACAGCGAAGCACGAGGUUUAUCGGAUCGGAGUGCCCAGUGGGCCACUUUUGGUAAGCAGAACUGGCGCUGUGGGAUGAACCAAACGCCGGGUUAAGGCGCCCGAACGGACGCUCAUGUGAAACCAUGAAAGGUGUUGGUUGCUUAAGACAGCAGGACGGUGGCCAUGGAAGUCGGA